GACGAACGCUGGCGGCGUGCUUAACACAUGCAAGUCGAACGGAAAGGCCCUGCUUUUGUUGGGUGCUCGAGUGGCGAACGGGUGAGUAACACGUGAGUAACCUGCCCUUGACUUUGGGAUAACUUCAGGAAACUGGGGCUAAUACCGGAUAGGAGCUCCUGCUGCAUGGUGGGGGUUGGAAAGUUUCGGCGGUUGGGGAUGGACUCGCGGCUUAUCAGCUUGUUGGGGGGGUAGUGGCUUACCAAGGCUUUGACGGGUAGCCGGCCUGAGAGGGUGACCGGCCACAUUGGGACUGAGAUACGGACCAGACUCCGACGGGAGGCAGUAGUGGGGAAUAUUGCACAAUGGGCGGAAGCCUGAUGCAGCAACGCCGCGUGCGGGAUGACGGCCUUCGGGUUGUAAACCGCUUUCGCCUGUGACGAAGCGUGAGUGACGGUAAUGGGUAAAGAAGCACCGGCUAACUACGUG
rnacentral:rRNA from 1 species